ensembl:lncRNA
GGUGGAGCUCAGAGAGAGACGUGGUGGAGCUCAGAGAGAGACAUGGUGGAGCUCAGAGAGAGACAUGGUGGAGCUCAGAGAGAGACAUGGUGGAGCUCAGAGAGACAUGGUGGAGCUUAGAGAGAAACAUGGUGGAGCUCAGAGAGCUGGAGAGAGACAUGGUGGAGCUCAGAGAGCUGGAGAGAGACGUGGUGGAGCUCAGAGAGACAUGGUGGAGCUCAGAGAGCUGGAGAGAGACGUGGUGGAGCUCAGAGAGCUGGAGAGAGACGUGGUGGAGCUCAGAGAGCUGGAGAGAGACGUGGUGGAGCUCAGAGAGCUGGAGAGAGACAUGGUGGAGCUCAGAGAAAGACGUGGUGGAGCUCAGAGAGAGACGUGGUGGAGCUCAGAGAGAGACAUGGUGGAGCUCAGAGAGAGACGUGGUGGAGCUCAGAGAGAGACGUGGUGGAGCUCAGAGAGAGACGUGGUGGAGCUCAGAGAGCUGGAGAGAGACGUGGUGGAGCUCAGAGAGCUGGAGAGAGACAUGGUGGAGCUCAGAGAGCUGGAGAGAGACAUGGUGAAUGAGUAGGUGUUUCCUAACUUUUGACUGGUACUUUGUGAUCAUACUUUCCAUACCAAUAAAGCCUUUUGAGUUGAAAAGAGAGAGAGAGGGAAACAGAGAGAGAUGGAGAGAGAGGGAAACAGAGAGA